rnacentral:lncRNA from 1 species
UGAGGAUGGCAUAUGAAUACUGGGUCUAAAACUAUGUGGUGAAAACUGACUUAACUCAAGAAUCUGAAUAUACAGUUAUACUGAGCAUGAACGAAUAAGCAUACAAAACCAACAUAACAUGUACUAAGUAGAUUUGAUCAACUGAAUGAUUGAUGUCUGUGUGACCGAACAACUAAAAUUUAAGGAAAGGAUAACUAACAUCGAUAUGUUGAGUAGUGGAUAUAUGAAUAUUGAUCAUGUGAAACUGAAUUGUACUUAGUCUGAAUAACUGGACUAAAACUGGGGAAAGGGGGGUACUAUACAGAUGAGAUAAGGACUAACUGAACAACAUGAGAUAACUGAGCAUGAAUGUAUGAAAACUAUAAUAUCUGAGAAUGCAAGACCAAAAGCAUAAGCAUAUUUUUAAAAUAAUUUGUAAACUGAAAGAAUUACAUCUGUAUAACUAAAUAAUAGUAAAUCUGUAUGCUUUGGUCAAACAAACCUGAACUGAAUAUAUACUGAAUACUGUACUGAGAUUAUGGGAGGUAUCAUCUAACCGACAUGCCUCAAUCUGAGUUAAUUGGGGUCCAACCUGUAACCCAGUUGGAAGAGUGUCAGUACCGUGCCACGGGUACUAAUACUGGUUGUGUGGAUCCACUAAACUGGUGCCCCAAAGGACUAACGAGUCACCCUCAACUGGCAACUACCUUAAUGACAUAUGUGUCACCCUCAACUUGCAGGUAGACAUCCCUAAACUACGCUGGCUACGUAGUUCUGGAACUUGGGGAUUGCUACUAAGGGUCAUACCCUCUACUGUCAGGUGAGGUGAGUCCUCAUCCCUGGAUUUGCUCAGUGCUAAAUCCUACUCCCAACUAAACUGACACUGAUAUUGGAAUAGACUGAUGUAACGCUUCGAAUCUGCACCUCGAACGCCACACGGUACUUACGACCCCGAAAGACCACAAGCUAACCCAUGACUGGUACCUGCGGUGAACACUGAAAUAAUAAUACUGAAAUAAUGCAGAAGUUAGGCUGAAAUGCCAUAAGGUUCAUAAUUUGAAUACUAUUAAAUAUAACAUCUGAUAAUAAUAUCUGAACUGAAUACUGUCUGAACUAGUCUAGUCUGAAAAGUCUCUAACUGAACUGUUUGAAUAUGGAGUUGAUGGGACAAGCUCCUAACUAACUCCGACUACUGAAAUAUUGAAGCUGGACCUGUAACUCAGUUGGAAGAGUGUCAGUACCUUGCCACGGAUACUAAUACUGGCUGUGUGGAUCCACUAAACUGGUGCCCCGAAAGACUAACGAGUCACCCUCAACUGGCAGCUACCUUAAUGACAUGUGUCACCCUCAACUUGCAGGUAGACAUCCCUAACCUACGCUGGCUACGUAGUUUUGGAACUUGGGGAUUGCUACCAAGGAUCAUACCCUCUACUGCCAGGUGAGUCCUCAUCCCUGAGUUUGCUCAGUGCUAAAUCCUACUCCCAACUGAACUGACACUGAUACUGGAAUAGACUGAUGUAACGCCUCGAAUCUGCACCCCGGACGCCACACGGUACUUACGACCCCGAAAGACCACAAGCUAACCCAUGACUGGUACCUGCGGUGAGCACUGAAUAAUAAUACUAAAAUAAUGCAAAAGUUAGGCUGAAAUGCCACAAGGUUAAUAAUCUAAAUACUAUUAAAUAUAACAUCUGAUAAUAAAUCUGAAACUGAAUACUGUCUGAACUAGUCUAGUCUGAAAAGCCUCUAACUGAACUGUCUGAAUGUGGAGUUGAUGGGACAAGCUCCCAACUAACUCCGACUACUAAAAUAUUAAAGCUGUUGAAAAUACUGAAUAAAAGCAUAUCCUCGAUAGAUAAGAACUCACUACUAAAACUGUUGCUACUAUUCGAAUCUGUCUAAGCAUGGUUGGGAACCUAAGCGUUCGGACCUAUGAUAUGAGACAUCAUAACGCAAAGAGAAAGUAUGCAUCAGUACAUGGAAUGUACUGGU